GGGCCGUCAGCUUGUUUGCCACUCUAAGUUGUAUAAAAAAAUAUAGGCUUCGAACCUUUUGUGUGUACAUCGGUGAUAAAGUGACGGAAGGAAUCAAGACGCCCGCACAGGACGUAAUAAAAUAGCCCACGACAAGACGAACGGCAAAUAAGCUUACGGCGCGCCUGAUGGAUAGUGGUGACCGUUGCCUAUACGUGAAAGAACUGUGAACAUUACAGGAUACACUGUGACGCCCAUGUUUAU